rnacentral:rRNA from 1 species
UACGUAGGGGGGCAAGCGUUGUCCGGAUUUAUUGGGCGUAAAGAGCGUGUAGGCGGCCUGAAAGGUCAGCUGUGAAAACUCGAGGCUCAACCUCGAGACGUCGGUUGAAACCAUCUGGCUAGAGUCCGGAAGAGGAGUGUGGAAUUCCCGGUGUAGCGGUGAAAUGCGCAGAUAUCGGGAAGAACACCGGUGGCGAAGGCGGUUCUCUGGGCCGGUUACUGACGCUGAGGAGCGAAAGCGUGGGGAGCGAACAGG